CAAUGGCUUUUAUUUUUUUGUUUUUCGGAAGCGUCUCAGCAGUGGUCUCACGAAGCUCCUACCGGAAUUCCUUAUGAGAAGUGCGUGAGGUCGGCCAUUUUGAAGAAGGAGUUGU